AAUGAACGCUGGCGGCGUGCCUAACACAUGCAAGUCGAACGGAAAGACGGGGAUCUUGCUGGCCGCGCGUGGGCGGCGGGCGGGUGAGUAACACGUGGAUACCCUACCUAUGGGACUGGGAUGACGACGGCAGACCGGAUCUAAUACCGGAUCAUAUGUUGAACCGGGGGGUUCAUUGGACAAAGACGGUUUUGCUGGCACUUAUAGAGGUUUCCGCGCCGGAUUAGCUAGUUGGUAGGGUAACGGCUUACCAAGGCUACGAUGCGUAGCCGACCUGAGAGGAUGAUCGGCCACACUGGAACUGAGACACGGUCCAGACUCCUACGGGAGGCAGCAGUAGGGAAUCUUGGGCAAUGGGCGAAAGCCUGACGCAGCAACGCCGCGUGAGUGAUGAAGGCCUUCGGAUCGUAAAGCUCUGUUGUUGGGGAAGAACAGAUGUGUAAGAAAACCAGGAUGUGUUGACGGUACCCGAUGAGAAAGCACCGGCUAACUACGUG
rnacentral:rRNA from 1 species